GUGCUCACUUUGACAGCACAUACAUUAAAAUUGGAAAGACAGAAGACUAGCAUGCCCCCUGCACAAAGAUGACAUGCAAAUUCUUGAAAUUGUCAAAAAAAAA
ensembl:snRNA U6 U6 spliceosomal RNA